GUUCUUCUAAUAUAACUAGUAUAGGUGACUUCCAAUCACCCAGACUCAAUCAUACCUUGAGGAAGGACA
rnacentral:tRNA from 1 species